UGGCUGUAAUGGUCAUUCCAUUGGAAAGUUGAGGGUUCUCCCUUCGCCAAGACUGUUUGUCAGGUUUAGGCUUGGCAGUGUCCGCGGUGUCGAGUUCGAACUCUCUGGUGCACGAUAACCCGUCGGAGCGAGCAGUCCUCCAGUAUGGGCAUGCGUAAAGUUGGAGGGUAUUUGUGAGGGUGGAGACACCGCAGCAGGCCUUUCCACCAGAGAGUGGCGUCAACACGGUAGCACCUGCGGGCAUUUGGGUACUGGCGAUGAGAGGUUUGGACUCGGUUUACCAAUAUCUCUU
rnacentral:SRP_RNA from 1 species